rnacentral:rRNA from 1 species
GAAUUCGCCCUUCGCCCGCCGCGCGCGGGCGGGGCGGGGGCACGGGGGGCCUACGGGAGGCAGCAGUGGGGAAUAUUGGGCAAUGGGCGAAAGCCUGACCCAGCGACGCCGUGUGGGCGAUGAAGGCCUUCGGGUUGUAAAGCCCUGUGAGGUGGAAAGAAGGGUCCAGAGGUUAAUACCCUUUGGACCUUGACGGUACCACCAGAGGAAGCACCGGCUAACUCCGUGCCAGCAGCCGCGGUAAUACAAGGGCGAAUUC